rnacentral:rRNA from 1 species
AAAACAUGGCCUUUUGAUUUUAAUUUAAGGUCUAACCUGCCCAAUGAUUUUAUUUAAUGGCCGCGGUAUUUUGACCGUGCAAAGGUAGCAUAAUCAUUAGUUUUUUAAUUGAAAGCUGGAAUGAAGGGUUGAAUGAGAAAAUAACUGUUUUUUUUAUAUUUUAUUAAAAUUUUAUUUUUAAGUUAAAAAGCUUAAAUUUUAUUUAAAGACGAGAAGACCCUUUAGAGUUUUAUAAAAAUUAUUAUUUUUCUUCUUUUUAGUAUUAAUAAAAUGAAAAAUUUAUUUUUAUUUGGUUGGGGUGAUUAAAAAAUUUAAAAAACUUUUUUUUAAAAAGCACAUUUAUUUAUGAAUAUUUGAUCCAUAUAUUAUGAUUAAAAGAAAAAAUUACCUAAGGGAUAACAGCGUUAUUUUUUUUAAGAGUUCAAAUCGAAAAAAAAGAUUGCGACCUCGAUGUUGGAUUAAAAUUAAAUUAUGGUGUAGAGGCU